rnacentral:rRNA from 1 species
UACGAAGGGGGCUAGCGUUGCUCGGAAUCACUGGGCGUAAAGCGCACGUAGGCGGACUCUUAAGUCGGGGGUGAAAUCCUGGAGCUCAACUCCAGAACUGCCUUCGAUACUGGCGAUCUCGAGUCCGGGAGAGGUGAGUGGAACUGCGAGUGUAGAGGUGAAAUUCGUAGAUAUUCGCAAGAACACCAGUGGCGAAGGCGGCUCACUGGCCCGGUACUGACGCUGAGGUGCGAAAGCGUGGGGAGCAAACAGG